AUUAAAAUGAUAGAAAGGAAGAGGUGAAACAGAAAUGAUUGAAACAGAAAUUAAAAGGGGAAAACAAAAGGAGAAGGAGGGCGGCUAGGAGAAAGGUAGGAUGGGGCAUCGUGGCUGGGAUCUGUAAGGGGGCACCGGUGUCGUGGUGUGGGAGGUGUGAGGCUCGACAGGCAGCGGAAGAGGUAUGUAGAGUUUUAGAGUUGGGAGUUGCUGUGAAAUAUUGUGACGAGUUGUCACUUAAGCUGAAGGAGCGGCUCGAUGCUCAAGAUUAGGUCUUCUGAGUGUCUUUUGUUUGUGUUUUGGAUGUUGUCUUUUGAUGUUAUAUUUUGUGAAGACUUGGUAUGAAGGGAUGUAUUUUGUUGUAAACAUGUUGAUAUUUGUUUAGAGUUAAUUCAUGGUGUUUUUAUUUUCUGAAACUUUAUUUCUAUGCGGGUUGUACCAAGAUCUUUCCUAGUAUGCUGUUUUGAUCUUAGGAUUAUUCGUUAAAGUAGUGUGUUUGUUGGAAUUUUUUGGUUGGAAAAUAUAAUUUUAUGAAAAAAAGGUUCUGAGACCUCGAGAAUUUUGCUAAGAAAGAAAUGGUUUUCUCGAUUUUUACUGGAUUUUUUUUUUUGCACUUGUUGCCAAAAUUUGUUUUGGUCUUUUUGCACUUGUUGCCAAAACUUGUUUUGGUCUUUUCAUUUGCCAAAAAGAAUGUUUUAUUUUUGGUCUUUGUCGCCAAAAGAUUUUUUGCAUUUGUUGCUAGAGCUUGCUUUGGUCUUUUCAUUUGUCAAAAGGAAUGUUUCUUUUUGGUUUUUGUUGUCAAAAGAUUUUUUGGUCUUGGUUUUUUGUGCCGAGAUUUGUUUUCUUGGUUUGAUUUGUUGGGAUUUGAUUGUAUAGAAAGGGUCUGAGUAAAAAAAAAAAUCGUAUCUUUGUUUCUUGAAUGAUCUUAUUCUAUGUUGAAAGAAAAAUAUGGCUUUUAUUCCUUAGGAUAAUAUUUACAUAUUUUUACAAUAUUUACAAGAACUUUGCUGCUUCUUGCUGAUUACUGGUAGUACUUUUUCAGAUUGUUUGCGUGCCAAACUCUGGGUAUUUCUUGUCCAUUUUCCUUUAUUAGUUUUGUUGAAGGUCGUACUAUCAAACAUUAUUUCAUUCCUCCUCUCUUAAUUACAUCGCGUCUGAUGGCUUUUAUAGCCUCUCAAAUAUACCUUGAGGUUACACGUAUGAUUACAAGUGUCACAACGAUAUCAUGCAGUGUUACACGUAGAGUACAACUUGCUGUUUUCCGAUUGGUUGAGGAGGGUUUUUAAUCCCCUACAAUGAGGGUGUAACAAGUUUAAAUGUUCCUGCUUUCCAUUCCUCUUUGAUUAUGUAAGGGUCUUCCUAGUUUUGAGAUAACUUGCUUUUGUUUUGCUUUGCUAGAGUUAGACGAGCGUUUCUGAGAACCAGGUCUCCUAGUGAUAAGUUGGCGUUUCUUAGCCUUUUGUUAUACAUUCUUUCAAUUUUUCUUUUAUAUGCAGCUUCAAAGAUUUCUGCUUGUUCUCUGAUGUCAACGAUGAGGUCUAUAUUUUCUGCUAAUUUUUCUUCAUUAGUUUCUUCGUUGUAACCGAUUAUUCUUGCGGAUGGCCAGACUAAUUCGCAUGGGCCGACUGUUUCUAGGCCAAAAGCUAAACUGAAAGGGGUGUAUCCGUUUGCUGUUUUUAUGGUUGUUCUAUAUGCCCAAAGUACCUCAGGUAUUAAGUCUACCCAUUCUUUGGGAUUGACGUUGAUUUUUCUUUUUAGAAUUUUAAUCAAAUUUUUAUUCGUUGCUUCGACCGGACCGUUAGUUUGUGAGUGAUAUACUGAGCUGAAACUUAGUUUAAUUUCAUUGUCUUUGCAGAACUUUUUUAAUCCUCCGCUUGCGAACUGUGUUCCGUUAUCGGUGAUAAUUUGUAACGGUACUCCGAAUACUAUAUUUCUAAAUAUGAAUUUUACUGCACUUUCCUGUGUGAUUGACUUUACUGGUUCUACUUUUGCCCACUUUGUGAAAUAGUCUAUAUCUACAAAUAAAAAUUUUUUGCCAUAGGAUGCUACUGGGAAAGGUCCUACGAUAUCGACUCCUCAUCUGGCGAAGAGUACCGGGGUUGUGAUGCUAGUUAGUUCAGUGCAUGAUAUUUUUGAGAUAUUAGCGUGUAGUUGACAUUCUCUGCAAUUUUUGGCUAUCUCCUUUGUAUCCCAUUCCAUUUGUGGCCAAAAAUAUCCUUGUAUUUGAACUUGUAACCACAAUUUCCUACCACCUUGGUGGGCUCCAUUUGCUCCAUUGUGAAUGCUUGAUGUAAUUUCUUUACCUUUUUCGCGUGAGACACAUAUUUUGUAUGGUUGGUCCUUUGACUUUUCAUCUUUCCUGAAUAGUUUGUUGUCGACGAUUGUGAAUCGUGCUGAUUGGUUUUUAACUUUCCUUUUUUCCAUUUCAUUGCCUUAUGGUAUUUCACAGUUUAGAAAGUUAAAAAAAGGUGUUCUCCAAUCGUUUUUGCUACUUGAGAUUGAGUAGAUUUUAAAGGAUGGCGUUUUUAUGUUUUCUAGCUGUAUCCAUCUUUUUUCUGUUGUUUGGUUUGAAGAUGCACCUAGCCUGGCUAAUGCGUCAGCCUCUUUGUUUAGGUUCCUAUUAAUUAGGUUAAUAUUUGUUUCUGAGAGGUUUUGUAGUAGGGUUUCUGUUUUUUCUUUGUACAUUUUAAAGGUAGGUUCUUUUACCUCAAAUUCGUUUCUUAUUUGGCCGUGAACGAGUUGUGAAUCAAUGAAUUUUUCUAACUUCUUAAUCUUUAAGUAUUCAACUAUUUUUAAUCCUGUUAUAAGGGAGGGCUUCGUAUUCUGCGAUGUUGGUGGUGGUUUGAAAUGAAAAACUGAAAGCGUAUUCAAGUUUGAUGUUGGAAGGAUCUAUUAGAACUACUCCGGCUCCGCAUUUGUUUUUACCGGACGAGCCAUCUGUGAAGAGUUUCCAUGUUUUGCUUUCUUCUUCUUGGUUGUUGGGAGUUAGUUCUACUAGAAAAUCGGCGAGGAUUUGUCCUUUUAAGGCCUUAGUUAGUACAAAAGUUAUAUCGAAUUCGGUUAAUUUGAGGGCCCACUUGUUCAUUCUUUCGUAGAUAUCGGGUUUGUGAAGUGUUUGUAAUAGAGUAUAUUUGGUUGAGAUUUUUAUUGGAUGUACCUGGAAGUAUGGUUUUAACUUUCGGGCUGACAUGAUUAUUGCGAAUGCCAAUUUUUCUAGUGGGGGUAGGUAUUUUCUUCUCCUUGGAGUACUUUGGAAAAAUAGAAAAUUGGUUUCUGAGUUUGGUUUUUUUUUUCUGUUAUAAGGACUGAGCUGAUUGCUGAUUCUGAAACGGCUAUGUAUAAAAAUAAGGUUUCUCCUCUUUCGGG
rnacentral:lncRNA from 1 species